AUGUAGUUGGAAAAGGUCUCCCCAUUAAAAUUUCAAAUGGUGAAUAACCCGUAGUGGAACUAGGGGUCAUUCUGAUCUCAGCUAAAACUGCUGGCAAAUUGUCUGGCCAAUUGCGUGUGCUACCCAAGCCUCCUUUUGUCAAUUUCUCCUUGAUCGUUCUAUUCAUCUUUUCUACUUGCCCUGAUGACUGAGGGUGAUAGGGUAUAUGAAAUUUCCAAUCUAUACUCAACAUUUUACAAACCUGCUGUGUAACUGCUGAAGCGAAAGGAGUUCCUU